rnacentral:lncRNA from 1 species
AAAACACUUCUCAUUGCCAAAACUGGCCUCUCCUAGUCAAUAUUUUCAGUUUGAUCUGAAAGUGGCUAUUCAUGAGUAUCCUUGGCUGUUUCUCAGGGACUGUUUCAAGUGAACUAAACUCCAAGCUGUUUAGGUUUGUUUUUCUCUUCUCUUUUCUUUUCCUUUUAAUCUGGAACUCCUGAACUGGGACCAGCUAUAUUUCAUGACAUUCAUCAACACCUAAAUAGCCUAUUUGUUCGAUGUCUCACUCCCCACUCCCCCAGAGCUAGAAUCUAAGCUCCCUGAGAGCCAUAGCUUUGGCUGUUUUGUCUACUGGUCUGUUCUUAUGGCUCAGGACACUGGAGAAUCAUGCAGACCCCCUGUAAGAGUGUUAAAAUCAAUUCCUCAAUCAAUGGCUUUUCUUCUCCCACUCUCUUUCCCAACGUGCGGUGACCACAGAAGCCUCAGCCCCGUGUGCUCCCAUCUUUGUGUCCAGGGCUGUCUUCUCUGAAGGUUCUUGCAAAGCCCUGGGCCUCGCUCUGAUUGGACCAGCAUAGGCCUCAUGCCCGUGCCUGCACUUGUCCCUGUGGCCAGGAAGACACUGUGCUUUUCAUCCAGGCCUUGGUCUUUCAUCCCUAGACCACAUCUACUGAAACUGACACCAGGCUAGAUCCACAAAAUGUGGUGGCUGUUGCUGAAAUUUGGCAGUUUAGAUCCUGGGAAGGCAAACCAAAAUUAGCUACCCAACCUCAAAAACAAAACAAAAGUCUUGGGCUGGGCAUAGUGGCUCACUGCUGUAAUUCCAGCACUUUGGGAGGCUGAGGCGGGCAGAUCACCUGAGGUCACGAGUUCGAGACCAGCCUGGCCAACAUGGUGAAACCCGGUCUCUACUAGAAAUACUAAAAUUAGCUGGACAUAGUGGCAGGCACCUGUAAUCCCAGCUACUCAGGAGGCUGAGACAGGAGAAUCACUUGAACCUGGGAGGUGGAGGUUGCAGUGAGCUGAGAUCGUGCCACUGCACUCUAACCUGGGUGACAGAGUAAGAUUCCAUCAAAAAAAAAAAAAAACUCUUGAAGGUAGAAAUUUUCGCCCUUGCUUCUAUGAAGUUCUCAAUCUCUAGAAAAGUAAAAGGUCGCAAGUUAAGCAGGAGGCCCUACUUCUAUCCGUCACUGUGCUCCUUGUUACCAUAGGUGGUCACUGCCACUGAGCCUCCAUUCAGGGAAUGGGCUCUGUUUGCACCUCUGCAGCUCUGAACUCAGGGCACACCUAGGCAGCCAAUAAAACCUGCACGCAAACCACAUUUUCAAAAAGCAUCACUUGUUUUCUACUGACCUUUUGACAAUGUAAGCAAUUAAUUCAGACAAUUUUCUGCACAAUUAAUCUUACAGACAGGUUCAAAAGUCUGUCACCUUGCAGCAGGAAAAAGCACUACUGAAAAGAAAGGAAAACUAACCUUUAGUUUCAAGGGUGUGUAUGUUCUCCAAACUCACCAAAUUGUAUCCAUUAAAUACAUACAGAACACCUCAAUAAAAUGGUUUUAAAAUAAUCUAUAACAUUUCUGCCAUUUUUUGGAUAGGAUACAUCACAUUUUCCCUAAAGAAUAUGAAACUCUGGGGGCAGUAUUCAUCGUCAGCUGGGGCUGCCGUAACAAAGUCCCAGAAGCUGGGUGGCUUAAACAGCAGAAAUUUAGUUUUCAAAGCUCACAUCUCCAAAUGCAGCCCCAGCCUGAGGGGCUGAAAGUUUGGGCUUCCACAGAAGGAUCUGGGGGACCCAAUACAGCCUGCAACAGUUGGAGAACUUGCUCAGAACCCACCCC